CGCAGAUUGGUCCGCCGGGGCGGGGGCGGGGGGAGGCAGAGGCCGUGCGCCCGGGCAGGUUUGGCGCGCUGCGGCUGUGGGCGGGCGGCGCGGGCCAAUCCCGUGGCGGCGCAGCGGAGUUGGCGCGCCCGGCGGCUUAAAGGGGUCGCCUGGCGGUGGGACGGCGGGUCGUGGCUUCCCCUCCCUGGGGCGGGGGAAACGCUUUCCUUUCCCCUGCUGGAGCCCUGCUCUCAUCGGCGGACAGAGCUGGGACCGAUCUUACAGGUGCCCGUCCCCUGCGGAAAAAAGCCUUGAUGAGUUUCCUGGCAUUAUUGAGACAGCAAAAGCACUCGCAGCUGGGUCCAGCUAAGGCCUCUACAGGCGUGUAGGCCUAUACAGGCUUGAAGGCGCCGUUAAGAUUCAGAGGAAGAAGCUGACGAUGACCCCGAGAGAAUCCUGUAUGUGAAUGGAAUUUAUGCGUCAUGUAUGAGGUGUAUGAAUAUGCAACAGGCUAUUGUUUUUAAACGUUAAUCCUCUGUUAACAGGUGUCCUUUACCGGGUUUAUGCUGCCCAGAAAAAGGUACCGGGACGUCCGUAACUCCUUGUUUCUAUUGUCUCAUAUUGUCCUAAUUCAA